CAUAAUAAGAGGGAUGACUGCUGGAUUAUUGUCAAAGACUAGGUAUAUAAUGUAACUCCAUAUGUGGAAGAACAUCCAGGCGGGGAUGCCAUUUUGAAUCAUGCUGGAGGCGAUUCAACUGAGGGCUUUUUUGGCCCACAGCAUGCAACU